UGUUGGUGAAGAUGUGAGGAAAGGGGGGCCCUCAUGCACUAUUGGUGGGAAUACAAACUGGUGCAACCACUGUGGAAACAGUAUGGCAUUUCCUCAAAAGAUUAAACAUAGGAUUACAAUAUGAUCUAAUAAGUGCAUUACUGGGUGUUGGAAAAGAGGAAAAUAAACCAAGAAAACAUAAAGCUAUAGGAAUGUGCUAAUUUAUAGUCAUCCAAUCCCUAUCCAAUGUCAACAGUGACUAAAGGCCCAAGGGAUCCCUCCUCCUGUCUGGCCUCAAGCUCUCAGCCCUCUCCAGCCUUUCCCUUCUGCUCUUCCACCCCCCUGUUUGAGGAGGAUUAAGGGUCAACAUUGGAGCUCAGAGGGUCAAGGGCAUUUACUGAGGGCCAUAGGCAAGAAAGGCCACUGACAGUCAGUGCGUGGGGCCUCUGACCAGCAGCAAGGCAGCAAUGAGAAGGGUCACAGAGGCAUACCUGGGCUCUGAGCUCAGCUCAGCCACCUGCUCACUUUGUGACCUUCAGGUCUAGUUCCUGAAUCUCUGUUUCCUCAUCUGUACAAUGAACGUCUAAGAUUUCCUUCAGAGCGCUGGUAAGCCCUGGGGAGACAAUAUACAUCAAGCGCCUAACACAGCAUCCACAUGGGAAGAGAAGACAACAUAAAACCCACCUGAGGAGCAGUUACUCCCCCAGUUACUGUUUCCCAAAGAUCUACCAUUAUCCAGAAAGGCGCUUGGAACCAUGGGAUUUGCAGGCCACCCAGAAAUCACGACGUUGAACUUUGACACAUCUACAGUCUAGCUGAAGGAUGAGGCCACUCAGCCAGCAAACAGGUGCACUGUCACGGACAGACGGUGAGUGCAAGUGUUCUCUUGCUCAAGAAUGUUUCCCCCAGAACUGGUGAGCCCUUGGCCUCUCCAGGGGUUCGAGCCGAGGCUUCACUUCAGCAGCUGGCCUUGCCAUGACUGGCACCUUCCUGAUGGCUGGACAUGAGGGCCCUGAGGUACCUCCUAGGGAGACACCUACUUCUGGUACCCUCAGGUAGGUACAUCCAGAUGCCCAGCCAACGGUCAUCAAUGGCUGCGUUCACUUCUGCAAUGUAAAGGUAAAUAUCAAGUGCCUUAGAGGGCCUGGUGCCACCAGAGCCUGCCAUCGGUGCUGGGUUAUCUUCCUAGGGCGGCUGUAACAAAUCACACAGACUUCGUGGCUUAGGACAAUAUACAUUUAUCCUCCUAUAGUCCCAGAGGUCAGAAGUCUGAAGCCAAUUCCGCUGAGCUAAAAAUCACGGCGUCAGCAGGACAGCCUUUAUUCUGUGAGCUCUGGGAAGGAAUCUCUUUCUUCACUUUUGCCAGCAUCUAAAGGCCGUCUGCACUGUUUGGCUCCUGGGUCCUCAUCACUCCGACCCCUGCUUCCACCGAUCACGUCUCCUUCUUGGACUCUGGCAUUCCUGUCUCCCUCUCAUAACGUUCUUUGCAAUUACACUCGUCUCACCUGGAUAAUCCAGGACACUCCUCCUUUCUCAUGAUCCUUAAUCACACUUGCAAAAAAUCCCUUUUGCCAGGUACCUCUUUUGCUGAGACGGAUGCCUGUAAACACUUUCUACCUAUCCCAUCCCCCAAAUGACUCUGAAAAAAUGACUCCUCUCUAGACAUUUACUUGAUCCAGCCUGCAAACAACUUGGGGAUCGAAGCACAUUUUCAUAGAAGGAAGAAGAGCAACAAAAACAGGAGACUGUUUUGGGAUUUGAAAUUGGAUUCAUUUUCCAUCAGUUCAGGAAGGAUUUCUACUCUCUAAGUUUGUAAGGCUGACUGGAAUCUCUUGUGUCAAAAUAAAU